rnacentral:ncRNA from 1 species
CAGAGUAGGCAAAUAUGCGUUAAGGUUUAGAGGACGGGAAGUUGUCUCUAAAAGAAAAGCUUAAAUUAAGUUUGCGAUAUAUUGCCGCAUUCCGCUGU